CAUUUUCUUCUCUCUCCCCUUCUCCCCCAUUCCUCCCCCUUGCUCCCUCCUCCAUUAAUGUUUAGAAGAUUUCACAGUUUUCACCCAACCCUGGAAAGAAUGUAAGUCGAUGCUGCUGAUUGCCUUUGAAAACAUUUGGAACAAAUUAUCUCUACUUUUGGAAUCUGAAUAAAGGAAUGUGAGCCUCACUGGAGAAAUAUGAAAUACAGGGUGGGAUUCACAGAAGACUUUCCAGAGAAGCUCAGGCCUAACCAUGCUGAAAAGCUGAUGUGGCUACGAAGCACAACCGGGGAGAAAAAACCACAUCAGUGCUGCAGGAAGCUGUCCUCUGGAGGAUUGAACAAAGAUGAUCAAGCUUCUCUCUGCUCAUUUCCACUCACCCAUCAGGAUUUCAUUGAUGGGCAAGCCUGAAAAAACCUGCCAGAAGUGUCAUUUCACACCCGCCUGAAGUCUUUAGUUUGGAGUGCUUCCCUUAUUCAUCCAUCACAACAUAGUCUCUCUCUCUAUAAUAUAUAUAAGUCCCUUUUACACAUAUACACUAUAUAUAAUAGUCCCUUUUACACAUUGUCUCUGCUCUUUGCAGCACCCUGGUUUGUAGCUAUGCUAAAGCAAACCCAAAUUCAAAAUGGCCUGAAAAAUCAUUGGUGUAUCCAGGCAAGAAUUAAUUAAAAUUUUGCAAGAAAUGCCAAUUAUAGAUACAAGAGGGAGACAACCACAAUUUCCAAAUCCUCCCUGACACUGUUCUGCAAUUCAGAAAGCAAGAAAGGCUUUGGCUACCUGCAUGAGUUUGCAUUUACAUCUUCAAGGCAAAAAUGUGACUUGAAGAAGCAUGUUGCCAGAGUGAACCGAUGCCAGCAAGAAGCUGUCGCAGAUCGUAAAACAUCUGUGUAAGAAGCCUGCACUGCUGAAUAGAUGCAGAGUCCAUCAGGUAUGUUACCUAUGCUGCACAGAGAACAGGAAAGGAUCAUCAGAGGUCUUAGGAAGGACCUGAGGGUUCUCUGAAAAGCAUGGAGAAGUCAUGGAGCCCUUGUUGGGGGCUCAACAGGGUUGUGCUCUUCUCUCUUCCUGGCCAGCUCUGCUCCAGAAAGUGAACUGGUUCCUCUGGACUGGCUGGUGGCCACGAGGAGGGGAACUGAAUAUGGGAAUUGUUUUUCCCAGGUCCAGCUGCCUCUUUAAAAGAACACAAAAUCUAUAGAGACACUCAGAGCAAUUUUAGCUAGCCAUCUCUUGAACACAGGACAGAAUAAUUACAGAUGUAGAUAAAUAACCAAAUUAGCACUG